rnacentral:rRNA from 1 species
GAUGAACGCUGGCGGCGUGCCUAAUACAUGCAAGUCGAGCGAACGGACGAGAAGCUUGCUUUUCUGAUGUUAGCGGCGGACGGGUGAGUAAAACGUGGAUAACCUACCUAUAAGACUGGGAUAACUUCGGGAAACCGGUGCUAAUACCGGAUAAUAUUUUGAACCGCAUGGUUCAAAAGUGAAAGACGGUCUUGCUGUCACUUAUAGAUGGAUCCGCGCUGCAUUAGCUAGUUGGUAAGGUAACGGCUUACCAAGGCAACGAUGCAUAGCCGACCUGAGAGGGUGAUCGGCCACACUGGAACUGAGACACGGUCCAGACUCCUACGGGAGGCAGCAGUAGGGAAUCUUCCGCAAUGGGCGAAAGCCUGACGGAGCAACGCCGCGUGAGUGAUGAAGGUCUUCGGAUCGUAAAACUCUGUUAUUAGGGAAGAACAGAUGUGUAAGUAACUGUGCACAUCUUGACGGUACCUAAUCAGAAAGCCACGGCUAACUACGUG